GGAGAGGAGAGGCACACACCUGGCUGGAGAAUGUUGAUCAAAUAGGCUUGAUUUGGUGUAGAGGGCACGACAGGGGACCCCAGAGGAAGCAAGAGCAAGAACAGAGGAUGAGCUCAAACAGCACCUGAGAGAGAGGCCAGGACUCCGAGAGAGCAACAGAGUCAACGGAGCAUCUGCCCGUGCGGGCCAACAGCUCUAAUUGCAACAUGAAGAAAGGCUCUGGCUUUUGAGGAGGGCCCACCCUAUCCCCAGGCGUUUCUCUCACUCAGAGUUGACACGGCCCCUGGGGAGGCACUGGCAUUUGGAGCAGGGAGUGAGAUCAUCUACCCUGGGCUUUAAGCACUGAGAAAGAAAAAAAGUCAGGAAGAAAGGCAAUACUGCAGAAAAUUCAUGAAAAAUAGCCAGCCAGUUUUUUUUUUUUUUUUUUUUAAUGUGGAGAACAAAAAUGAGAGAGGAGGCCUGAGGAACUGGCAUGAGGAGAAAGGAGCAUUUGCUGUUAUAUACGGCAGAAGCCACUGUCCUACCCGAAGUGAUGAAUUCCCCAAGGCCGGAGCUUCAGGAGACAUACGUGCAGGGCUCUCUGGGAGUAGCCCGCCAGGAUGCAAGCUGACUGCCAGGGUGUGCAGGAACAAGCACAGAGCAUGAUGGAAGCCCCAAAGAGG
rnacentral:lncRNA from 1 species